rnacentral:rRNA from 1 species
GGGCCCGCACAAGCGGUGGAGCAUGUGGUUUAAUUCGAUGAUACGCGAGGAACCUUACCAGGCUUAAAUGGUUAAGUGGGAUACAGGUCAGUAGAGCAUAUGACCUACUUCGACGUUUCAUUCAGCAACGUUAAGGCUGCAUGGUGAUGUCGUCAGCUCGUGCCGUGAGGUGUCAGGUUAAGUCCUAUAACGAGCGCAACCCCUAUGUCUAGUUGCCAGCGAGUAAUGUCGGGAACUCUAACGAAACUGCCAGUGCAAACAUGAUGAGGAGUGGAGACGUCAAUCAUCACGCCCAUUACGUCCUGGCUAGCACACGUGCUACAAUGGUCCGGUACAGAGAGCAGCCACUUCGCAGAAGGAGACG